rnacentral:rRNA from 6 species
UCAAGUGAAGAAGCGCAUACGGUGGAUGCCUUGGCAGUCAGAGGCGAUGAAAGACGUGGUAGCCUGCGAAAAGCUUCGGGGAGUCGGCAAACAGACUUUGAUCCGGAGAUCUCUGAAUGGGGGAACCCACCUAGGAUAACCUAGGUAUCUUGUACUGAAUCCAUAGGUGCAAGAGGCGAACCAGGGGAACUGAAACAUCUAAGUACCCUGAGGAAAAGAAAUCAACCGAGAUUCCCUUAGUAGUGGCGAGCGAACGGGGAUUAGCCCUUAAGCUUCAUUGAUUUUAGCGGAACGCUCUGGAAAGUGCGGCCAUAGUGGGUGAUAGCCCCGUACGCGAAAGGAUCUUUGAAGUGAAAUCGAGUAGGACGGAGCACGAGAAACUUUGUCUGAACAUGGGGGGACCAUCCUCCAAGGCUAAAUACUACUGACUGACCGAUAGUGAACCAGUACCGUGAGGGAAAGGCGAAAAGAACCCCGGAGAGGGGAGUGAAAUAGAACCUGAAACCGUAUGCGUACAAGCAGUGGGAGCCUACUUGUUAGGUGACUGCGUACCUUUUGUAUAAUGGGUCAGCGACUUAUAUUCAGUGGCAAGCUUAACCGUAUAGGGUAGGCGUAGCGAAAGCGAGUCUUAAUAGGGCGUUUAGUCGCUGGGUAUAGACCCGAAACCGGGCGAUCUAUCCAUGAGCAGGUUGAAGGUUAGGUAACACUGACUGGAGGACCGAACCCACUCCCGUUGAAAAGGUAGGGGAUGACUUGUGGAUCGGAGUGAAAGGCUAAUCAAGCUCGGAGAUAGCUGGUUCUCCUCGAAAGCUAUUUAGGUAGCGCCUCAUGUAUCACUCUGGGGGGUAGAGCACUGUUUCGGCUAGGGGGUCAUCCCGACUUACCAAACCGAUGCAAACUCCGAAUACCCAGAAGUGCCGAGCAUGGGAGACACACGGCGGGUGCUAACGUCCGUCGUGAAAAGGGAAACAACCCAGACCGCCAGCUAAGGUCCCAAAGUUGUGGUUAAGUGGUAAACGAUGUGGGAAGGCUUAGACAGCUAGGAGGUUGGCUUAGAAGCAGCCACCCUUUAAAGAAAGCGUAAUAGCUCACUAGUCGAGUCGGCCUGCGCGGAAGAUGUAACGGGGCUCAAACCACACACCGAAGCUGCGGGUGUCACGUAAGUGACGCGGUAGAGGAGCGUUCUGUAAGCCUGUGAAGGUGAGUUGAGAAGCUUGCUGGAGGUAUCAGAAGUGCGAAUGCUGACAUGAGUAACGACAAUGGGUGUGAAAAACCCCCACGCCGAAAGACCAAGGGUUCCUGCGCAACGUUAAUCGACGCAGGGUUAGUCGGUUCCUAAGGCGAGGCUGAAAAGCGUAGUCGAUGGGAAACAGGUUAAUAUUCCUGUACUUCUGGUUACUGCGAUGGAGGGACGGAGAAGGCUAGGCCAGCUUGGCGUUGGUUGUCCAAGUUUAAGGUGGUAGGCUGAAAUCUUAGGUAAAUCCGGGGUUUCAAGGCCGAGAGCUGAUGACGAGUCGUCUUUUAGAUGACGAAGUGGUUGAUGCCAUGCUUCCAAGAAAAGCUUCUAAGCUUCAGGUAACCAGGAACCGUACCCCAAACCGACACAGGUGGUCGGGUAGAGAAUACCAAGGCGCUUGAGAGAACUCGGGUGAAGGAACUAGGCAAAAUGGCACCGUAACUUCGGGAGAAGGUGCGCCGGCUAGGGUGAAGGAUUUACUCCGUAAGCUCUGGCUGGUCGAAGAUACCAGGCCGCUGCGACUGUUUAUUAAAAACACAGCACUCUGCAAACACGAAAGUGGACGUAUAGGGUGUGACGCCUGCCCGGUGCCGGAAGGUUAAUUGAUGGGGUUAGCGCAAGCGAAGCUCUUGAUCGAAGCCCCGGUAAACGGCGGCCGUAACUAUAACGGUCCUAAGGUAGCGAAAUUCCUUGUCGGGUAAGUUCCGACCUGCACGAAUGGCGUAACGAUGGCGGCGCUGUCUCCACCCGAGACUCAGUGAAAUUGAAAUCGCUGUGAAGAUGCAGUGUAUCCGCGGCUAGACGGAAAGACCCCGUGAACCUUUACUGUAGCUUUGCACUGGACUUUGAGCCUGCUUGUGUAGGAUAGGUGGGAGGCUUUGAAGCGUGGACGCCAGUUCGCGUGGAGCCAUCCUUGAAAUACCACCCUGGCAUGCUUGAGGUUCUAACUCUGGUCCGUAAUCCGGAUCGAGGACAGUGUAUGGUGGGCAGUUUGACUGGGGCGGUCUCCUCCUAAAGAGUAACGGAGGAGUACGAAGGUGCGCUCAGACCGGUCGGAAAUCGGUCGUAGAGUAUAAAGGCAAAAGCGCGCUUGACUGCGAGACAGACACGUCGAGCAGGUACGAAAGUAGGUCUUAGUGAUCCGGUGGUUCUGUAUGGAAGGGCCAUCGCUCAACGGAUAAAAGGUACUCCGGGGAUAACAGGCUGAUACCGCCCAAGAGUUCAUAUCGACGGCGGUGUUUGGCACCUCGAUGUCGGCUCAUCACAUCCUGGGGCUGAAGCCGGUCCCAAGGGUAUGGCUGUUCGCCAUUUAAAGUGGUACGCGAGCUGGGUUUAGAACGUCGUGAGACAGUUCGGUCCCUAUCUGCCGUGGACGUUUGAGAUUUGAGAGGGGCUGCUCCUAGUACGAGAGGACCGGAGUGGACGAACCUCUGGUGUUCCGGUUGUCACGCCAGUGGCAUUGCCGGGUAGCUAUGUUCGGAAAAGAUAACCGCUGAAAGCAUCUAAGCGGGAAACUUGCCUCAAGAUGAGAUCUCACUGGGAACUUGAUUCCCCUGAAGGGCCGUCGAAGACUACGACGUUGAUAGGCUGGGUGUGUAAGCGUUGUGAGGCGUUGAGCUAACCAGUACUAAUUGCCCGUGAGGCUUGACCAU